rnacentral:rRNA from 1 species
GACGAACGCUGGCGGCGUGCUUAACACAUGCAAGUCGAACGGAAAGGCCCUGCUUUUGUGGGGUGCUCGAGUGGCGAACGGGUGAGUAACACGUGAGUAACCUGCCCUUGACUUUGGGAUAACUUCAGGAAACUGGGGCUAAUACCGGAUAGGAGCUCCUGCUGCAUGGUGGGGGUUGGAAAGUUUCGGCGGUUGGGGAUGGACUCGCGGCGUAUCAGCUUGUUGGUGGGGUAGUGGCUUACCAAGGCUUUGACGGGUAGCCGGCCUGAGAGGGUGAUCGGCCACAAGGGAAGGGAGACGCGGUCCAGACUACUAAGGGAGGCAGCAGUAGGGAAUCGUCGGCAAUGGGCGGGAGGCUGACGGAGCAGCGCGGAGUGAGUGAUGAAGGUCUUCGGAGCGUAAAAAUCUGUUAUGAGGGAAGAACAAAUGUGUAAGGAACUAUGCACGGCGUGACGGUACCUAAUAAGAAAGCCACGGCUAACUACGUG